UUUAGUUUUCCUUCAUCUCGUGAGCUCAAACCUCCAAGCCAUAGCCGAUGCACACAUUUCUCUCUUCUUCUCUUCUCUUCUCUUCUCUUCUUAUAUUCAAAAAACCAAGUUCCCCUCAUCUCCUUCAAGCUUUGUGACUCCAUGGCAAGGGAAGAAGAAAAGCAUUUUCCCUCAUCCUCUCCAAGCAGUACGAGUAUUCUUCCUCCAUACCCAUUUUCGGUUUUGACUCAAAGCUUGGAACCAACGCUUGAUUUCAUCUUCCAAAGGGUGAAAUCUUGAAGUUAAUAGACUUUUGGUUCAUUUCCUAGUAUGAUUUACAUGUGGGUUUCGAGUUUCACCAUUUUCUUACCUAUGACGUUUCGGUUUUGGGAGUAAUACAAUGCCAUCAUUUUGUUCUUCAUCUACACGGCUUUACCACUAUUUGGUCAUUUAUCUUGCCUCUUGAAAGAAGCUAAGAGCUUAAGGUCCUAUAUUGGCGUUGGAAGUAUCGAAGAGCAUAGAGGUAAUGACAAAGUGGUUGGGAGCAGAGCACUAAUACAGAGGGAGAGGCAGACGCUUAGUGUCUUCCCUAUUGGUUCGACCUUGCAUGGAUGUUUAUGGAUGUUGUUUUUAUGUUGGGAUGGGUCCCUUGUUGAGACAUUUUGUUGGGUUUGACUUUAAAACAAUGUAUCUUUUGGUAUGGUGGGAUGAUGGCAACUCCUUAUACAUUGACUUAGUGCCUUUUGUACAUAUGGUAGGGAUGGAGUCUCUUCCUAACUAGAACAGUUAUAUUUUUAUAAAAGUAUGAUGGAC